CAAGGGGACGGUAUACUACAAGAGCAAUGACGACAUCACGCCGUAGAGGACUCAGGACCAGGAGGAGAAUCUGGAGCUAGUUCUGUGAGUCAUCGGCUGCAUGUCCCUGUGUGGGGGAGAAAAAAGGGAAAUGACGACAGGAAUUAGACCAGAUGGUCUAUGUUGAGUCGGGGUAGACGAGAUCAGAAAAACCAUCUUAUAGACUAUUGUGAUACUCCAAGACCAACUUCUUUUCCAUGAAAUAGUGGACACAUUCGCAGAUUCAGAAACAUCCGAGGGAGAGUUUGGCCUCAGCACCAGGAGCCCUUGGUGGAUUUGUGAACUUGGGUUCGACCAGGAAACCUUCACCAGACAACGGACAGUGAAGGAAGCAGGGCUCUCCCCGGUAGCUUUCAGCAGAACUCAUCCGCACGAGCAAACCCCUGGCAGGACUGGUUCUCUCUGGACCCUUCCUCCUGCGCCCCCGCUCCCCGCUGCCUUUCUCCUCUUCUUCUACUUCUGCUGAUCAAUGACUCCCAAGUCACUCUGGAGAUGACCCUGGCCCACGGCGUCAGGAGCCUGGGGAGCAUCUCACGCGUCUGCUGCUCCAUCCGCCAGCUCUUUUCCAAACCGCCUGCAUGAGACCCAGCGCUCACCGGCCACGGACGGAGACUCUGGUUUCUCCGCAUUUUCCCAGUGCACAGCGAUGCCCAGCAGCCCACCUGAGUUGUGACCCCUGAGGACAUGCGAAUCAAGACGACCACUACAGAAGAGCCAUUAUUUCUGUUGCUGGGGAAGGCCGACCGCUGGAAGCUGUGAUCAAAACCACAUUUUCGGGUGUGCCAGGUAGAUGUGGUGACUGCAGACGAGCAGCACUUCGCUAUCUUCUCCCUCAUUGAUCUUGCUACAUUCGAUUUUUCCAUUUCUAUUUUUUUAAAAGAUUUUGUUUAU